ensembl:lncRNA
UGAUAUCUUGUUUAGAUAACAUCUUUUGUGGAAAAUUAAAAAAAAAGAAGGUUACUAGGAUGAUCAGGAAAGAUUUGGGUGAGUUGGGAAAUGAUUGCAGUCUACAGAAGCCUAAAAUCCUAUUGACUUUCAGAUGCCAGAAAGGCCUGCUCAUGUCUGCAAGAUGAGUUUCUCAUGGCUCUGUGAUGAUAAUGUGUUGAUCCUUAUCCAGCAUGAGCUAUCUACAUCAUCUUCUUUGACUGCUAAGCUCUCAGAGCAAACACUGCUGCUGAGGAACAAAAGUAAGGUUUUCAGACUCGUUUUGGGAAGAAUCUUUCUCAUCUACCACUGCAAGCUGUAGAGGAAAUUGAGUUCAUCAACAAGUGUCUCCAUCCUGCUCUGGAGCAGAAGAAAACCGUGAUUACCUGACAGCCAUUAGUUUACCUGUAGUGGGAGGCACCAUCAAUUUCCAUCAAUUUUACUGCUGCAAAAAUAAUGUGCUGCUGUAGUUCUUCCAAAGGUCAAUUUCUGCAUGAGGUAUAUCGACUGCAGGGAUGUAAACUGUAAAUAAACAGCUGCAUAAUUUAUCUUCUUUGAUAUUACUUGAUUCAUCAUGAGCUUUAAGUUGAUCAGCAAAGAAAAUGGAAUCACUGCCUUGAAAUUUCAUGGUGCAUCAGAUAACUUAGAAAUGAUAGGGACUUUGGUUAUAUAAAUGUUGCUAUAUAGAAUGUCAGGCAACAGCCAAUAUUAGCAUUGCAGAGCCAAUAUUACACAGCAAAUGUAUCUGUCAACCUCUCUGUGUGCUUUUACUAGUUUUGAAAAUCCCAGAAUGGAUCGAGUUGUCUGAAGCACUGGCAGGUUCUCAUUGCAAUGUGUGCCGUGCAGUGAGGGAUAUCUGGUAUUACCCCAAAACUGUGACCAUCUGAAACUUUAGUUCCUUGCACCUAUGGAAGAACAAUGGGGCUAUUAUGACUUGUCCUUUGUUGUUUUUUGUUUUAUUUGGUUGGUUGGUUGGUUUUUAAAGGGGACAGUGCAUGAUACAGGGAAAUUUGGAGCAUGCAGAUAGUUUCGUGCAGAACAAGUUUUCAGAAUUAGUAAUGCUUGUGUUAUUUCAGUACAGUGUCAAGGACCAAGCGUACUCAGAGGAGAUUCUGUGCCCCAAGGACUUUCUUCUCAAGAACACGGAGAUGAUUCCCAAAUGAUAAUUUUCCCAGCUAGGGGCUGUUCAGGCUGUCUUUAUUCCAUAGCUCUGUGAUAGAUAGGCCUUGAGAAAUUGCUGCACUUUUCUCUUGGGAGCACACUCGAGUUUUCAAGCCUGGGUGUGGCAAUUUCUGUUUAGACUUCACAAUUGGCCACUGGAGAACAUAGAGUCCAUGGCAGAUAUCUUAGUGCAGACUCUAAAGUCUGUCUUUUGUCUAAUGGGACAGAAUUCUGAAGAGUGGUCUGUCCCCUUGGUUAAAGCAAGAAAGGCAGCGUUAAGUUUCUUAACCUCAUAACACUCCCUCUCAGACUACUUCAGUCACAGCUUAUUUGCAUCACCUGGAAGAGGCAGUGGUACACACUACAGCCACAAAGAAAAUAAUUUUCUCCCUAUUAUCUGUCUUUAACAAAGCAGGAAAAUCCCAAUAUGCUGGAAAAGGCAUCUGCUGGGUAACUUAUGUUAGUGCAAAGGAGUCAUCGAGCCAGCAUUGCUGGGUCAGUACAUUUGUGUAACAUGUCAUCUGUACUGGUGUAAGACACUAUUAGAAUUGUGUUGCUUUGAUGACAUAUUACUUGAUGAAAUAAGAUCAGCUGUCAAAAACCCAUUCCAGUGUCUGAGGCACUCAAUGUUUUGUUGGGGGAAAAGGUUCGUUUCAUUCCUGAAAAAAAUGCAUUAUUCAGUAUGGAGAACUGAAGGGCAGUCAGGCUGAAGCUGAGAGGCUUCAUGAAGGCAGACAAGUCCCCUUGAAAUUCCACUGCUUAGCCAGGGUGGUAGGGCCCAGGGCAUGGGGAGCAGUCUCUGUCCCUGGAGGUGCUCCAGAACUGAUGUGGCACUGAGGGACAUGGUCAGUGGGCAUGGUGGGGAUGGGUUGGGGUUGGACUUGAGGAUCUCAGUGGUCUUUGCCAACCUUAACGAUUCCAUGAUUCUGUGAUCUCCUGCAGCUCAUCAAUAGACCUGAAAUAGCUGAAAUAAUGCACACAUUUAUGCCUAUUUGGGGAUAAAUGUCACCACAGACCUAACACCUUCACAGCGUCCCAUCCAGCAGCAGAUGCUGAGCAGCAUAAUGCAGAACAGAAUCUCCCUUUUCCUGCCCCACCAGAAGGGAAUGUCUGGGAUAAUGCCUUGCAAAUCUCGCCAUGAAAACAUGCCAUUAUUCCCCGUGUAUGAUUAGUCUUUCAUGCUUCCCUUGUUACAAAUACGUAACACAUGCUACGGCACAGAAUGUGAUAAUGUAUUCUAAUGCGAUCUUUAAUGCUGAUAUUUAAAAACCUGUUCCUGAGUAGCACAAUUUGAGUUUCACACGAAUGUACCGCUACCAUUUUUUCCUGUUUUAAAGCACAAAGUCUUUCCGGCAAAAGGUAGGCAUUAUGUCAAUCCGCUUUUGCUCCUUUCUUCCUUCAGUUAUGUGCAGUUAAACGUUUUCUUCAUCUUCUAGGGGAAAAAUGAAUGAAUUAUUCUAGAACAAUGCACACCGCAGUGUGUGUGUGUGUGUAUUGGUGAGUCAAAACGCAAACAUUGAGAGAAGACAUUCUCAUUUGUUUCCAUCCCAGUUUUAAGUGAUAUUUUAGGAAGCAAUCAUAAUAAAGAGAGCUGAAGGAGCUGAAGGAAUUAUUUCUCAGUUAGACAGCAGCCUGCUGUUAUCUCUAAUCUAAGAGGCACUGGAUAGAGGUCAUCGUUUGAUCAAUGAGGUGAAUUUCAUUUUAUGGUGCUGAAAACAGACAGAGAAUGGUACAAUCGAGUGCUUUCAAAAAGAAAACAGAAGCAGUAAGAGAGUGAUGGAAGAACCGUAACAAAAAUAAACAGGUUUAUUGCUAUAUUAAGCCUGUUUUACAAGGACUCCAUAGUGCAGAAAGAGGAUGUCACCCAACUGUAGCCCCCCAGAUAGACAGGAUUUAUAAACACGUUGACUGUCUUGUGGACAAAUGGGGUUAAUGCGGUACACUGCUACAUUCAAAGAUUAUCUCCCAUAAAGGAUAAGCAAUUGAGUUUUCACACUGAAGCAGUAAUGCAGUGUGACUUUCAGGAGUCCCCACGCAGAGGUGCUGGCAGCAUUGGCACUUCCUUGCUGUCCGAAGUGCAGUGUGUUCCUCCGCAGUGGUUUAUCUCCAUGGAGCUUUUUGCCAUCUCCAGCUUUUGCAGGUGCUCAGGGUGCAAUGCAGACUGGCCAGGUUUUACUUGCAGCACUGUCUGAAAUGGAUUGAGAAGCCUGAGUUAAUCGUUUCCUAUUGAGGUUUUAUAGCUCAUUCGGAGUAUUGAGCACAGGCAUGUUGUCAUGGUAAUUGAGCAAUUAUUUCAUGUAUAAAUCUAGACCAUAUCAUAGAUGAACCUUAAACCAGCAUCUGCUCUUCCAUUCAAGAGCAGUAAAAGGGGCAGUGCAUUCCUCGUGCUUUUGAUGUCCUGCUUACAAGUGGCUGUCUGGGAAGAAGUUAAAAAUACUUCCUCACAAAAUACUGAAUUUCACAAUAAAAACAAUUGAUUACAUCCAUUGGAAUGAUCCAUCGUGGAGCAUCAUGGAGAAAGAUAACUUUUGGCAGAGGAAGCGAGGCAACCAAUAUUGAUAAAAGCAAGUAGAUGAGCAGGAGGAAAAGAUUGCUCAUAUAUAGAGAAGGAUAAAUGGAUUUGAUAAACGUAUGUACCAGAAAAAUGGACAACCAUGUAUCUGUCAUGGUAUCAGGAAAUGCUAUGAUUCUGAGUGCCUGACUACUACUGGUGUCUCGGUUGUAAAAGGAAGUCAGACUGGAGGAGUUCCUUGGUUAAGGUGGUAAGAGGGAGAUUUUUUUUCCAGAGGAAAACCUUACAUUGUAUCUGAGCAAUCAAUGGGAAGCUAAAGAGCACCUGCUGUCAGCACAGAUUAAUCUGGAAUUCCUUCACCUCUUCAGAUCCUUGUGCAUCAAACAUUAGUUUGCAUCAAAAGUUGGAACAGUGACUCAAAGAUCUCAGGAGUUCACAAAACUACAAGAGCAAAUCAAGGAAAAUGCCUCCCAUUUCUAUGGCCUGCAGACUUCAAAACCUGUAAUUGUGCUGGAAGUCUUUGAUCUCACCAUUACUCCUCUGUCGACUUUGAAGUCAAAAGGAUAGGGUUAUUGCAGUGGGAUCCUGAUGUGUCAAGUGUUAAUUCCCCGCAGCCACAUUCAAGGCACACCGUAUUAGCUACUGACCACUAAGUGCUAAAGGGUGUAACCACAUGUAGAGUUUUCCUCCUGCUCAGGGUUUCACACAUCAGUAGUUUCAGUGCACAGUUUGUUACUAACAGAGAGGUCACUGCAGACCACUGAUGCAUAGGACCUCAGGAAUGUGUUUUCUGGGACAAACGGGCAAUUAUGUAUUUUUAAUAAUCAAUUCUUACAGCUGAGCAAGAGUUAAAACGAUGUCAAAAACUAACCUGAAUAGUAGCAAAUGUUAUUUUUGGAACCUAGGAGGGAGCCCAGGGAAGAGGAGGGAUGAGCAGAGGCUGGCACAUGGGGAGCUGUGCCUGCUGACCCCUGGCACGGGACCUAACUGCUGCAGAGCCCCAUCGCUCCACAGCAUCGCUCCUAACUUUUGUCAUGCUGCAAUGAAGCAUCCCUGGAGUUCUGCAAUGGUUCCUAUGUGGCCGGAGUGGCUUUCUUAUUUCAACCUCUUGAGCAUCGAUUGUUGAGUCGCUUCCUCAUCAUUAAAAGCUCGUCAGGGACAAGCUCUGGAGUUCAGAAGCUCUGUGCAGUCACCACGGCCUUCGGAUGCCCCAAGGGCACCAGCAGAGAGGAACGAGUGUGGCGAGAGCGCAGGCAGCUGUGAGCACACUGCAAUGUCAUUGCUGAUAUCUUUUCUGUAUUUUUAAAUACCGGCACAACAAAUGCCAGCACUGAACCAGAGGGAAAACUGAUGGCAUUCGGGGAUCACUGAAUGGAGGACUGGGCAUUCAGAGCUUCAUACUGCCCAGCAGUGAGAAGCAGACAUACGCUUUGCUGAUCUCAUGUACUCCUCCACCAUAAAAAGCUGCUCGCAGUUACAGUGAUGUUUCUAGAAGAAGGAGAGAAUCAAACACAAAAGAUCUGCCUUGACUUUCACGGCUCUUCUAAUGCUUACAACUAAGCUUUAUUAUAUUAUUUAUUAUACACAAUGGAAAUAAUUAUUAUUACAGUCUUUCCUCUGUCAUGUGCUUUAUUACAUGACCUUGUUAUGGCCAAGGUUGCAAUCUGACAGUGUGCACUGCAUCGGUAGCGGUGACUGCUGGCAGGGAGUCCUUGGUUUGGGACUCUAAAACUGAUGGAUUAAACAGCAUUAAGGACAGUGAAGUGCUAAUACUGCGGUAAUGGACACUGUAAUAUUUCAAAAUAGCUCACAAGUAGAACCAAAACAAUCCAUUGGGCCACUCAAAUCAUGCAGGGUCUGGUUGGAAGCUCCUGGCCAUCUGACACCUUUGGUGUAUUGCUGUAAGUCCAGAAGCACUUGCUACCUGUAGUCCAUAAUAAGUUGGUAACAAAGAGUGAUAACAGUAUGAAGUGGAAGAGAUAUUCAUCUUGGCGUAUUUCAAUCUAGAAGUGACAAUCCUGGAUUGAUUCAUUCUCUGAGGAAUAAACCUCCUCUUACAAAAAAAAAAAAAGAAAAGAAAAAACAAGUUUAAAGAAACCAGGAUUUAUCCUCAAGAUCACCACUCAUUUUCUUUUAGAAAUUACAUUCUAGACAAUAAGAGAUCACAGACCUGUAAAUUGCAUUUUAACUUUCAGGUAACAUACUAGGGCUAUAACAAAAUCUGAGGACUAUUAUCAUAGCAAAAUAACUGUAAUGCUUCAAGGCUGUAAUAACCAUCUCCUUUUUAUCAUCCAUACUACCAUCAGGCCAAGAAACAGUGAAUUUCUUUAAUGUUAUUCUGCCAUAACCUUUAACUGUAUGCAUUAUUUCAAACACCUGGAAUAAUACUUUAUAUGGCACAACAGAAUAAUACAUUUGCCACUCACUGCACAGCAUAGUUGGCUAAACCCAAAUGAGUACAAAUGCUUAAAUCUGCUGUGCGUAUCGUAGAUAUACAUCCAUUCCUUCUACUGUGCUGUGGACUGACCUUUACGUGACAAGGAAGUUGAAGGAACAUUAGAAAGCAUAAGGUUUGUACUUAAAGUCAAUGAAGGCUCUUUCAGUUAUAUCAUCAUUAUAAAACUGUACUGCUUACCUGGUUUUGGGAGGGCUGUACUUGGCUAGCUCACACACACUUUAUGUGGAAUCUACAGCAUAAAUACUCUGUGGGUUCAUUAUAAAAAUAUGUUUGUGAUAUACCUUUCUGGUGUCCUUUGUGUUCUUUCAUGAAGUGUUUAUUCCUGUUAUAUCAAGCAUAAUGCAUAAUACCAACACCAUACAUAGAGCAUCUUGAUAAAUAAUCAUGCAUAUGCUCCAGUGGUUUUCUACAUAAAUGCUCCUAUAUAUAAGUUACUACAGCCCAGGGCUCUGAAUGGAUCAAAUUUGUAAACACAUCACUAUAUUUCUUACCUCUAUUGAAGUGUAUUAUGAUAGCAGUGCUGGCAUUUAUCUAGACUGUUGAUAUAAAGGUUUCUACCCACACGAGCAAUGCAUAUUGCAUUAUGCAAUUCUGUAAUAAACUGCUUGAAAUAUUACCAGAGACAGAGCAUGCUGGAAAACAUUGAGUGAGCCCUGAGGUGGAAUGGUUCCUACUGAGUACAGAGCACUUUGGAUCAGGCCUUGGAGGAUACUACCUAUAAAAUAACACGUUUGAAGAACUUAAUUGUGAUUUCCUCAAUGUCACCCUGUCACUCUGAAAACCGGAUGCUUUAGUUCAAUGAAAGGUCUCAGCAGUGCAGUACAGCUUUUCGUCAAAGUUUAACUGCUUCAAAGAAUUUGGAAACUUCAUUUCUAUGAAGUUGGGCAUGGCCUUGAGUUGUACUAAAGGACUUCAUGUCACUGUGAGCACGUAAACACAGUGGCAAGGUUUUGGUUCUUCAGUUUGGUGGGAGCGGCUUUAUGCUUCUGUAGGAAACUUGUCCAAGAGAUCUUUGCUUCCAAAAUCUGCUUAGAGAAUCAGCCUCCACCACAGGGUGCCAGGAAGGACACCUGUGGUGUUCAGCCUGAAUGAAAAAUAACAGAGCUCCAAAGCUGUUAUAUUAUUGUUCCACAUCUCCUCUGCUACAGCACACAGCUGGUGGUGACGCGGGAAUGAGGUCCCAGCAAAUCAAGGUUUAUUGGAAUAUUUUUCAACUGCACUAAGGAAAAGGGAUUUGGAUCUAAAGGGUACAGGCGUAGCACAAGGGGCAGCUACUCUCCUACUGGGCAAGCACAAAGUUAUUGGACCUCAGUCUAAUUUUUCUGUGAUUUCUUCUGUGACCUUUUACAAACUACACAGAGUCUGCCCAAGGAAAUCACAAAAUGAUUUCUAUUGGCUUCACUGGGUGAGAGAUUAAGGUUCUAAUUUCUCUUUGAAUCAGUGUUCUCAUUAGUAAAUUACUAGCCUCAAAGCUUAAUGUUUCCAACGCUCUUCAGUAUCCUUGAAGGGAAAUUGAUACUGGAAUGUUAACUGUCCUCAUUGCCAACAGCCAUAUAGCAUACAAAUCUAGAUUAAUAUGAGCAUUUCACUGGUGAUGACAGCACUGUAAAAUCCAUACCUAUGUUCCCACUAACCUAGAAGAACUAGACAAGAGUCAAAGAGAUUAAACGUAAUAGCUAAAGAGAAAGCUGAUUUCUCAGCAGGUGCCUUGUAUUUCCUGCAGGUUUUACUACAGUUUAAGACAGAUUUUCAUUUGCUGUCAUCAGAGCCUCUACUAAACCACGAAAUUCAUUCACAGAGUUAAUCAGCAAGUUCACUUCGCCUGGAUUUGAAAUUCCUGGAGCUGAACGUUCACUUUGUUACAGUACUUAAGGGCUUAUAAUGUCCAAACAGCAUUAUGAACUCCAAGCUCAAGGAACAGUAAAAGUUGUUCAUGCUAUCAGUGGUCAUCUUCUGUAUAAACACCUGAAAGGAAAAGGUGAAGAUUUCAGAGCACCCUUCAGUGGAGAAGAAACUAAAAGACUUAUGGGGAAGUUUCUGGUGAGCUGAGUAUUUCAAAGAAGGGCAAUUCGGAACAUUUUCCAGCACAAGAUCAUUAAAUCUGAGUGAUAUAGUGGGUUUCUUUUGUUAUCUUGGAUAUUAAUUAACAAUUAGCAGAUUGUGGAAAAUAUACGCCUAUAGUUUUUAGCCUUACUUAAGAUAAUAAUGGAAUUUAACCCAGUUAGACGUUCUAAAAGCAGCUUUUGUUAUACUGUUUUUUUUUUGUCAUAUAAUGUUUGCAUCACAGCAAAGGUUUUAUAUUGUUUAAAUGUUAUGUGCUAGACUUACUAGAGUAUUCCAAGCUCUGUAGCUGUGGUUUUGGAUCAAAUGCUUAAAGGAAUGUCCUCAAAACCUCAAAUCAGAUGUCUUCAAACCCUGGAGUUACUGGCUGCUUUGUUGGCUGAGCAGAUGAGCCUGAAUCACAGCUGAUGAUGUUUCCCAGCUGUCAUUCCUGAAGGACCCAAUGUGAUGGAUGUUAUGGACCUCAUGCAGAACACAGUCCCUUGUGUCCUUCCCACCCAGAAGGUCAUUAAUUGCAUUGCUGAGCUGGGAAGAGGCAGGCUGAGGCUGAAUCCUGUGACCUGGUUUGGGAAGGGCUGGGUUCCUCCCUCUGAAUGUCCUCCCUGGACUUGGCCAUCAGUUGUGCAGCAGUAAGGACUACUCAGCAUUUCUUUUGAAGCUGUUCAGCUCGUAUAAAUUCAACUGCCACGACGUCUCCAUAAACUCAUUGGAGUACAGCUUAGAAGGCAGCUGCUUUCCUUUCCCAGUGUGUGUGCUUUAACCUGUAGUCACCAUAACCACACUUACCACAGAGCACUGAACCAUUCCUUGCACCUGUACUCUUGGAAAACACAAUCUAUAUAUAGCUAUUGUGGAAUCUACUGUUCGGAAUAAAUACCUAUCUCCCUUAUCCCACACUGUGCUUCAAAACAACCUCAUUUUGCCAUCACCAAUUAAAACCCCAUCCUUGCUCUAUCUCACAUAUGGUCAUUCAUACCCACCCUUUCAAACUAUCUACACAAUUCCAGUACACUCUUCUUAGCCCUCUAUGCAUACAAUUAACCCAGUCUUUGACUCACGAGUUAUCCAAAAUCCCCCAGUGGUAGAUUCAAUUGUAUACUGGGUGAAUGGGUGACUGGUGCUAUGCAUAAACUUUGUGAUAAAUGACUUCAUCCCUUUAUUAGUGAUAAUUAGAAUGGUAAUUAUUAGACUGUGACAGAUGGUGCAGAUAUUUUGGAAGACUUCAAUGUCAAGAAUCUAGGCAGCAGAUAAACAAUAUUUUAAAAAUAUCAGUGAUAUCUAAAUUGAAAAUUUAAAUUGUGUGGAAGUCAGAACAGGCUUCCUGUUCUGUGGAACAGGAAACCUAGGGGGCAAAAUUUGAGCAUGUAAGGUAGAUAUAGAUAUACAAGCCUAGAAAGAUUAACAGUCUGUCUGGUAUGGUCAUGCUGCUGUCAUUAUUGGGAUUAGAGGCACCUACCUGUCUAUAUGGCUAUUUUAUUUUCCCUUGGUCAAAAAACACCUUGGGGCACAAUCUUGAGCUGACAGUGCUGUUCUCAGGAGAAACAAGCGGAUGCUUCAGUAGAUCUUUCUCUUUUACACUGGCAUAACACAAUAUAAAUCAUAACCCUUCUUUCUUCCUAGCAUUUCGUAGUACCAUCAGUAAUGGAAUAUUAUUUUUUUCAACAACCAUUCAUGUACUGCCUGCACUGUCUGAAUGUCCCAGCUGGAACUGCAUAGGUUAAGGCCUCAAAUCAAUCCUUCCUGCUAACAGCCUGGGGAGCAGGCAAGUGAGUUUCUCACAGAAGGAGAAUUCUGACUAUCUAAAAGUAUAAAAAGGAUACAGACCUGACAAGUUUCAUUUAUUCCAUUCCUCACAUUUCUGAUUUUGCCUGUUCUGCACGUCAGGCAAUUAUUUUAGCACUAAAUGCAACGGUGCACACGCACAUACACUCAUACCUUGUACAAGAAGUUUCUUCAUAAAUAUCUCAGCCACGUGAGCCCAUCAAUAGUUCUCUGCAAGAGGGGUGAAGGUGUGUAUCCACUAGCAUUUCUUGGCAAUGAGUCCUUAUAGCUUCAUCCCUGUGAGAAUAGAAUGUGCCUUUUCAGUAGAUUAAAAAAGAAACCUCCAUCUUCGCUGCAGAGUAUCACUUGACACGCUUGUUGAUUUACUCAACUUAUUUUUCAUUCCAUAAUUCUUCCAGGCUGUGUUCAAAUGAUCUCACCCUACAUUUGUUUGAUGAAGGUUACCAAUCUGGAAAAUCCAUCUACUUCCACCUUCAUUAUUAUGACUGAUAUCUCUGCUGCUCUGUUUACUUGCCUUUAAUUUACUCCAAGGCUAACACUUGUUUUUGGCUGCAUCCACAAGGGAUCCAGUGAUAACUUUCCCCCGUCCCCACCUAGGCAGUGAGCACCUCUGCAAGACAACAAAUCCUUGGCUUUGCAAUAGUGUAAUGUUCUCAUCAGUGUAACAUUCUCAUCAGUGGCAUCAAGAACUGCAGAAAUACUGAGUGGUGUGGUCAGGACAACCCUAACUGACUCUCAGCGGUCACUGAUUUCAGCCACAGCCUGAGAAGUUGAGCAGGAGAACCAUUUCACAUUGGUGCAACAUGAAUAUGAGCAACUGCUCAGCUUUAGUGCUCAUUACCCCAACAACAGUUCUGGAUUAAUUUCUAGUCCCACGGGCCAGCAGGCAACGUGGGCAGAGCAGAAUCAUCCCUUAGUAUUUUAAAAGCCAUCUAUUUAAAAAGUGUUUUAUGUCGAAUUAAAGCUCAUCCAAACUAUUCAACCUGGCCAUAUUUCUUCACCAUUAGCGUUGUAUGUGUCAUCUGUUGUUUCACCACCUGUUAAUCUGCCUGGGCUCUAGCUGUAGAUUUGAUUUAUAAAGAUGCCUAUAUCUUACUCGUUUGCUACAUGCGACCAAUACAACCCCAAUCACUGUCUGCCUUCUCAUGGAACACCCACCUAUUAGUUUAAAUUCUGAGAGACGGGAAAUAAGAAAAAUAAAUAAUUCCCACAACUGUCAUUCACACGUUUCUACCCUUUUAUCAUGACACAACAGGACAUUGUUCAAGUACAUAUUUUGAUUUACAAUUCUUCACCGCCCCCAUUCAUCGCUAUCAAAAAUGAAUUUUUAACCAUGUGUAUAUAAACCCGAUGAUUUGUAUUCAUAAUCAGCUAAGGUUAUAAGGAAUCUCCUGCUGUGGUUAGCUAAGGUAAAGCACACUAAAGCAAAAUUGCUUUACUCACAACCUGUAAUAAUUUCAGAAUGUUAUUUCUAUUUCUUGCAAUGUUCUUGGUAACAUUAGUCAGAUAAAUGAUGCCUUUUGAUCAACAGGAAUGCUCCUUUCUCCAAACAUCAGCUUUGCACUGUAAACACCAAUUCCAAUAGGGUUUGGUGGUUUUUUUUGUUGUUGUUGCUUGGUUUUUUUAUUUUUAUUUUUUUACUUUCUUAUCUUUGUGCUUGGAUAUAUAUUUGCUCUUCAGUUCUCUUGCUAUGUUCCAAUAUGCUAGCAAUAUCUUUCCCUUUGCUGCCUCAUUUAACCUAUGUAAUAAAGAUGCCUGUCAUGUCAUAAAGUAAGCAUUUUCCCUAGAAAUUUCUAUAAAAGUUCAUGUCAAACUGGAUAUUUCUAUUGAUUUUUGAAUAGAUAUUAGCAGGUUUUCUUCUGCCUUAUUUUUAAGAAUUGACUCUUAGACCUUCAAAUUUCUUGAAAGAAAUAUUGCUGUAAGUUGCAAUGACCCAAUGUAAUCCUGACCUGCUCUUUUUCUUCUUUUAUCCCUCAGUGCUCCAGUAUCCUAGCAGUUUUUCCUAUGCUUCUUACAAUUAGUCC